CGGGGCAUAGUAUACCGGUAGUACGCGCCCUUCGGGUGGGUGUAGACCGAGUUCGAUUCUCGGUGCCCCGA
rnacentral:tRNA from 1 species